rnacentral:rRNA from 1 species
AUUGAACGCUGGCGGCAUGCCUUACACAUGCAAGUCGAACGGUAACAGGUCUUCGGAUGCUGACGAGUGGCGAACGGGUGAGUAAUACAUCGGAACGUGCCUAGUAGUGGGGGAUAACUACUUGAAAGAGUGGCUAAUACCGAAUGAGAUCUACGGAUGAAAGCAGGGGAUCGCAAGACCUUGUGCUACUAGAGCGGCCGAUGGCAGAUUAGGUAGUUGGUGGGAUAAAAGCUUACCAAGCCGACGAUCUGUAGCUGGUCUGAGAGGACGAUCAGCCACACUGGGACUGAGAAACGGCCCAGACUCCUACGGGAGGCAGCAGUGGGGAAUUUUGGACAAUGGGCGCAAGCCUGAUCCAGCAAUGCCGCGUGCAGGAUGAAGGCCUUCGGGUUGUAAACUGCUUUUGUACGGAACGAAAAGCCCCGGGUUAAUACCCUGGGGUCAUGACGGUACCGUAAGAAUAAGCACCGGCUAACUACGUGCCAGCAGCCGCGGUAA